CGGAGGAAGGUGGGGAGUGACGUCAAUCAUCAUGCCCCUUAUGACCUGGGCUACACACGUGCUACAAUGGUUGGUACAACGAGUUGCGAGUCGGUGACGGCGAGCUAAUCUCUUAAAGCCAAUCUCAGUUCGGAUUGUAGGCUGCAACUCGCCUACAUGAAGUCGGAAUCGCUAGUAAUCGCGGAUCAGCACGCCGCGGUGAAUACGUUCCCGGGCCUU
rnacentral:rRNA from 1 species